rfam:Trichuris muris Edinburgh genomic scaffold, scaffold313
GCCUACGAUCAUACUACGUUGAAAACACCGCAUCCCGUUUAGCGCAUCUGCGAAGUUUAGCAACGUUAGGCCGAGUUAGUACCAUGGUUGGAGACAACAUGGGAACAUUCGGUGUCGUAGGCU